rnacentral:miRNA from 1 species
UUGGGCUGGGCUUGCUGCGUGG